CCUACGGGUGGCAGCAGUGAGGAAUAUUGGUCAAUGGGCUUACGCCUGAACCAGCCAAGUCGCGUGAAUGAAGACUGCCCUAUGGGUUUUAAGUCUCUUCUGUCAGGGAGCAAUUGGCGCUACUUGUAACGUUAUCAAGAGUACCUACAGAAAAAGCAUCGGCUAACUCCGUGCCAGCCGGCGCCGUCAUACGUAGGAUGCGAGCGUUAUCCGGAUUUAUUUGGUUUAACGGGUGCGUAGGUUGUUGUUUAAGUCAGCGGUGAAAGUUUGUGGCUUAACCAUGCAAUUGCAGUUGAUACUGGACGACUUGAGUGUGUGUGAGGGAGGCAGAAUGCGUGGUGUAGCGGUGAAAUGCGUAGAGAUCAGGCAGAAUACCGAUUGCGAAGGCAGCUUACUAGGCAAUAACUGACACUGAGGCACGAAAGCGUGGGGAGCAAACAGGAUUAGAUACCCGAGUAGUC
rnacentral:rRNA from 1 species